AGUGAACGCUGGCGGUAUGCCUAACACAUGCAAGUCGAACGGCAGCACAGUAAGAGCUUGCUCUUACGGGUGGCGAGUGGCGGACGGGUGAGGAAUACAUCGGAAUCUACUUUUUCGUGGGGGAUAACGUAGGGAAGCUUACGCUAAUACCGCAUACGACCUACGGGUGAAAGCAGGGGAUCUUCGGACCUUGCGCGAUUGAAUGAGCCGAUGUCGGAUUAGCUAGUUGGCGGGGUAAAGGCGCACCAAGGCGACGCUCCGUAGCUGGUCUGAGAGGAUGAUCAGCCACACUGGCACUGAGACACGGUACAGACUCCUACGGGAGGCAGCAGUGGGGACUAUUGGACAAUGGGCGAAAGUCUGAUCCAGCCAUACCGCGUGGGUGAAGAAGGCCUUCGGGUUGUAAAGCCCUUUUGUUGGGAAAGAAAAGCAGCAGGUUAAUACCCCGCUGUUCUGACGGUACCCAAAGAAUAAGCACCGGCUAACUUCGUG
rnacentral:rRNA from 1 species